CCUACGGGAGGCAGCAGUGGGGAAUAUUGCACAAUGGGCGAAAGCCUGAUGCAGCAAAGCCGCGUGAGGGAUGAAGGCCUUGGGGACGGAAAGCCCUGUCCGCAAGGAAGAGAAUGACGGUACUUGAGGAGGAAGCCCCGGCUAACUACGUGCCAGCAGCCGCGGUAAUACGCAGGGGGCUAGCGUAAUCCGGAAUUACUGGGCGUAAAGGGUGCGUAGGUGGUUUCUUAAGUCAGAGGUAAAAGGCUACGGCUCAACCGUAGUAAGCCUUUGAAACUGGGGAACUUGAGUGCAGGAGAGGAGCGUGGAAUUCCUAGUGUAGCGGUGAAAUGCGUAGAUAUUAGGCGGAACACCAGUUGCGAAGGCGGCUCUCUGG
rnacentral:rRNA from 1 species